rnacentral:lncRNA from 1 species
AGGUUCUAGAUUGGUUCCAGAAGGUUCUGGAGGUUCUAGAUUGGUUCCAGAAGGUUCUGGAGGUUCUAGAUUGGUUCUAGAAGGUUCUGGAGGUUCUAGAUUGGUUCCAGAAGGUUCUGGAGGUUCUAGAUUGGUUCCAGAAGGUUCCAGGCUGGUUCUGGACUGGGUUCCAGAGCUGGUUCUGGGGUUCAGGAGAGCUCCAGGGCUCCAGGUGAGGUCCAGGUGAGGUUCUGGAGAUGUUCACGUCAGGUUCAGGUGAGGUUCAGGUGAGGUCCAGGUGAAAUUCCAGGUUCAGGUGAGGUUCAGGAGAUGUUCCAGGUUCCAGGAGAUGUUCCAGGAGAUGUUCUGAGGUUCCUGGAGAUGUUCUGAGGUUCCAGGAGAUGUCCCAGGUUCCAGCUGAGGUUCAGGAGAUGUUCAGGAGAUGUUCCAGGUUCCUGGAGAUGUUCCAGGAGAUGUCCCAGGUCCCAGCUGAGGUUCAGGAGAUGUCCAGGAGAUGUUCUGAGGUUCCAGCUGAGGUUCAGGAGAUGUUCAGGAGAUGUUCCAGGUUCCUGGAGAUGUUCCAGGUUCCUGGAGAUGUUCAGGAGAUGUUCCAGGUCCCAUCUGAGGUUCAGGAGAUGUUCCAGGAGAUGUUCUGAGGUCCAGGAGAUGUUCUGAGGUUCCAGGAGAUGUUCCAGGUUCCAGCUGAGGUCCAGGAGAUGUUCCCGGUCCCAGCUGAGGUUCCAGGUUUGGUUCCUGGAGAUGUUCCAGGAGAUGUUCUGAGGUCCAUGAGAUGUUCUGAGGUUCAGCUGAGGUUCAGGAGAUGUUCCUGGAGAUGUUCCAGGUUCCUGGAGAUGUUCCAGGAGAUGUUCCAGGUCCCAGCUGAGGUUCAGCUGAGGUUCAGGAGAUGUUCUGAGGUUCCAGGAGAUGUUCUGAGGUUCAGCUGAGGUUCAGGAGAUGUUCCUGGAGAUGUUCCAGGUUCCUGAAGAUGUUCCAGGAGAUGUCCUGAGGUUCAGAAGAUGUUCCAGGUCCCAGAUGAGGUUCAGGAGAGGUUCCAGGAGAUGUUCUGAGGUUCCAGGAGAUGUUCAGGAGAUGUUCUGAGGUCCAGCUGAGGUUCCUGGAGAUGUUCCAGGAGAUGUUCUGAGGUUCCAGGAGAUGUUCCAGGUCCCAGCUGAGGUUCAGGAGAUGUUCCAGGAGAUGUUCCAGGUUCCUGGAGAUGUUCAGGAGAUGUCCUGAGGUUCCAGGAGAUGUUCCAGGUCCCAGCUGAGGUUCCAGGUUUGGUUCC